rnacentral:rRNA from 1 species
CUAUCGCGGAUCGUGGAGACACUUUCCUUCAGUUCGGCUGGAUAGGUGACAGGUGCUGCAUGGCUGUCGUCAGCUCGUGUCGUGAGAUGUUGGGUUAAGUCCCGCAACGAGCGCAACCCUCGCCUUUAGUUGCCAGCAUUUAGUUGGGUACUCUAAAGGAACCGCCGGUGAUAAGCCGGAGGAAGGUGGGGAUGACGUCAAGUCCUCAUGGCCCUUACGCGUUGGGCUACACACGUGCUACAAUGGCGACUACAGUGGGCAGCCACCUCGCGAGAGGGAGCUAAUCUCCAAAAGUCGUCUCAGUUCGGAUCGUUCUCUGCAACUCGAGAGCGUGAAGGCGGAAUCGCUAGUAAUCGCGGAUCAGCAUGCCGCGGUGAAUACGUUCCCAGGCCUUGUACACACCGCCCGUCACACCAUGGGAGUUGGAUUCACUCGAAGGCGUUGAGCUAACCGUAAGGAGGCAGGCGACCACAGUGGGUUUAGCGACUGGGGUGAAGUCG